AGCAGCCGCGGUAAUUCCAGCUCCAAUAGCGUAUAUUAAAGUUGUUGCAGUUAAAAAGCUCGUAGUUGAAUUUCGGGAUCAAUAUAUCGGUCGUGCCAUUGGUACGUACUGGUAUCAUUGGUUUCUCCUUUCUGACGAACCAUGAUGUCAUUAAUUUGGUGUUAUGGGAAGUUAGGACUGUUACUUUGAAAAAUUGAGUGUUUAAAGCAGGCUUUAGCUUGAAUACAUUAGCAUGGAAUAAUGAAAUAGGACGUUCGAACCUAUUUUGUUGGUUUCUAGGAUCAACGUAAUGAUUAAUAGGGAUAGUUGGGGGCAUUAGUAUUCAAUUGUCAGAGGUGAAAUUCUUGGAUUUAUUAGAAGACUAACUACUG
rnacentral:rRNA from 1 species